GCUGGGUGCGGUGGUGCAUGCCUGUAAUCCCAGCAGCUUGGGAGGCUGAGACAGGAGGAUGGUGAGUUCAAAGCCAGACUGAGUCACUGAGCAACUCAGUGAGACCCUGUCUCUA
rnacentral:sRNA from 1 species